AUAGCUGAAUAUUGGAAGAGUUUGUCAUCCUGCCAGUAUGUGAACUAGUUGCUUUAUUGCAAUGAACUGGUAAAUAACUUUUUCGAGGACUGAUAUAUGCUGUUAGUACAAUCACAGCAUUCUUUUCUUCCUAGUCUUUGGAAAGCACAAGGAGAAUUCUUGGCUUGGCCAUUCAGCAAAAUGGUAAAAUCUCCAGAUGUUUCAGGUCAGUUAUAUACACUCAUCUGUGACAGAUGGCUUUGGCUGCUUCAUCGCUUGGCUCUCAAAACAAUUGAUGUUUUUUUGUUCCUCUCAUUUUGUCCUGUUUCCAAGAGGGAGGGCAGGGCUUAGUAGGGUGGGGUAGGGUAGCAGAGGGCAAGGCUGCUUCUGCUUCUUCCUAUACAAAAGUACUUCCGUUUAUAGUUUACUGUCUGUUCCCUAGUUAUAAUUUUAGAAGAAGUUAAGUAUGAUAAUGAAACUCUUAACACCCUUGUACAUUAUUUGAAUCAAAUAAAAUCUGUAUUUUGGAUUUAUCUA